rnacentral:lncRNA from 1 species
CAGGUACAGCCCUAAAAAGGAAAGAAAAAAAAAUAAUAAAACACUAUUUCAUCUUCUGAAAUACCAGUGGCUUGUGAGAAGAUGUAACAGUUACUUUACUUUUGUAUCUUCUCCCCAUGCACAAUGUUGAGCAUAGAGUAAACACUUCGCAAAUACGUCUGAGCAUGUGUAUUAGUUUCACAUUGCCAUUUGGAGCAAAUUACCACAAAUUUUGUAACUUAAAGCAACAAAAAUUUAUUAUCUUAGAGUUCUAGAAGUCAGAAAUUCAAAACGAGUCUCACUGAGCUAACCAAGGUGUUGGCCGGGCUGCAUUCCUUUCUGGAGGCUCUAGGAGAGAAUCCAUUUUUUUUACUUUUCCAACUUCUAGAGGCUGCCACAUUCCUUAGCUUGUGACUCCUUCCCAUUUUCAAAGCCAUCAAAGGCAGGUCUUUCUCACAAUGCCACUUCUCUUUCUAACUUUUUUGCUUUUGCUUUGCUUGUUUAAGGAUUCCUGUGAUUACAUUUGGCUCACCAGAUAAUCCAGGAUAAUGUCCUUAUUUUAAAGUCAGCUGAUUAGCAAUUUUAAUUCCACCUACAAUCUUAAUUCCCCUUCCAGGUGACAUAACAUAUUCAUAGGUUCUACGCAUUAAGAAAUGUAUAUUUUUGGGGGGUGAGAGAUGGGAAUUAUUCUGUCUACAACAGCAUGUAAGACAAAAAAAAAAGAAAAGAAAAGAAAAAGAAAGAAAAAGGAAGAAAAGAGGAAAAAAUGGAGUGAAAUAUUAACAACAUAACAAAUAUGUAAGAAUUAGUACAUUACAUUUUAAGAAUCUGAAACAAAGCCAAAAAAAACUGCUCUAUUCAAUGCUAAUUAGAUAAUUCCAAGCAUGUGUGCAUGUGCGUACAGCAUUAGCUUGGUUAGCUGAUGCCACAGCUGGGAUAUUACUAUUUACUAAUUAGACAAACUACAUAAGAAAUGAAUGACACAUUUGCUAGUUAUCAAACUUUUUAGAAAAAAUUCCCAAAUGCCCUUCUUCCUGGAAAAGGAUUCUUUUCUUGCCCCUUCCAUUCCGACUCACCUCCGAUAUUUCUGGAAAACUUCUAAGAGAGUGGAUAAAAGUCUUAACAUUUGCCUACCCAGAUUAAUCUGUCACAGGGCCAGGACGGGUACACUCUUGGAGACAGAGCACCAUUGGCCUGAAUUAGAUGCAAAGGCUGGUGGACAUCGCCCCCUUGUGCUGAGAGGUGGAGAAAUCAUCCCCUCUGGCUACCCAAUCGGUUUGCUGGAGGAAAUUUCUUGGCUAAAAUUCCAUGGAAAAUGGUUGUUUGGAGAGUGAAAUUCCCCCAGAGCUCUUAGAAUCAACUUUUUUCAUCAUUUUAAACCUAUUUAUUGGGGAAUCUCUCUAAAAUAUAUUACACAUAAAAAAUAAUCAUACCGAGUCAAUACUGCAUGAAAGAACGUGUAACAGCAUAAAAUAAAUUAUUCAUUCCCUUGCCUUGUAAAGAGCAUGCUGAAUGCAAUUUUUACAAUUGUUUUUGGCUGUGAACCUCAGUUCAUUCAGUCUCCCACAGAAGAGAGAGAACACCAAUAUUCGUUUGCAUGUUUAUGACAUUUUUUAAAGUUAUUUUCAUUACUGUUAUUUGGGGGGAGGGUGUUGUUUGUCUGUGGUCAUUUUCUGAUUCUGAGUUUGUCAGUGUGGCUUCCUUAGCAGCUUCCUUCCCUUUCUAAUUUGCUGUGGAAAUAGUAACUAGGAUACCAAGCUGGUUAGAACUGCAAGUAAAAGGAGGUUAAAAUAGGCUCCCAAUAAAGCCCUCUCUUAUAAGUGAAGUGUGUGAGAUUUAAGACAAAACCAGAGUGACGUCGCUCAUGGGACUGCCUGUUCCAUUGGAAUUCAUGACUGUUUGACAUCUAUUUAGCUACUUAGACGCCAUUUUUACUUCUUUUCUAUUUUUGUUCUGAAUAGGUUAGUGUGAAAUUGUUGUGUUUUGGCAAGAUGAAAUAUUGCUAUAUUUUUCAACGUGCCAAAGCUGUGAAAUGGGAUAAAAGAUCCUCACAACUGGGAUUGGAAAAAAGAAAAGAAAGAAAAGCCAUGCCCCCUUUGAUGCUUAUGGCAACUGGGUAUAAAACCAGGGCUGCAGCUUAAAUGUGCAUUAACAGCAGAACUCGCUUUUAUUUCUGGCUUUGCUUUUGAGAAGCCAGGGAAAGAAAGACAACUGUCAAGGGCGAAGAGAAAAUGAUGUAUAGUGUUGCUGCACCUGUUUUGCCACAGUGAAGACAAGACCAAGAGAAUGCGAGAAAACUGAUGCAGAGCUAUGGCAUCACAGGACUACAGAACCAUCUACCUCUAGGCAUCUUGUUCCAUGAAAAGAAUAACCCCCUAUUAAGCUGCUGACAGGUUUUCUGUUAUUUCCAGCUGAAGUAUUUCUUGGGAGUAUUUUACUUAGAGCUGAAGACAGAGGGAGAAGCCCUCUGUGUGGGGAAGCCUGGGGGAGUUGGUAACCAGAGUUCCAGCUUGUGGAGAAGCUGGUCUGAGAGGAGCAGAGACACAAGACAGAGGGAGUGCGUCCUGUGGUUUAAAUUCUUCUGCCAGUGAAUUCCUCCUUUUGUCUAAAAUAGCUGAGGUACAGUUUCAUUUGCAAACCAAAGUCCUGUCUAAUUUAAGUAUGAGCUCAUUUUUUUCUUCUUCUUGUCCUUCUCCCUUUUUUUUGGCCUCACCCUGGCAUGUAGAAGUUCCCAGAUAUCAAACCCAUGCCACAGAAAUGACCAUGCCAGACCCCUAACCCACUAGGCCUCCAGGGAACUCCCAAGCUCAUUCUUGUUUUAUAAAAAACAAGUAUGUAUAUGUAAGCGUAUAAUCAUCUAAGCAUGAAAAAAUAUGAAUGGAUGUACUAAACAGUUACCAGCAAUUAUUUCUGGGGAGAACUGGAAUUGAGGGGACUAAGAAGCACCUAUGCAUUCCUUUUCCUUUAUAAAAAUCUUAAUGUUUAAACUUAUUAUAACCAGCCUGUAUCAUUUUUGUACUUUUAAAGGACUAAAAGCUGCAGGAACUCUGAGAUAAUGUGUGUGUUGGUUCAUGCUGUUGGGUCGAGGUGUGUGUCAAUUGAAAACCAAUACACAACAGUCAUCAUGAAGCUGAGAACUACUGCUUACAAACCACUCAACAAAUCUCAGACAGACAACCACAAAUCCCAAGGCCCGAAUAAAAGCAGCAGUAGGUGCCGAGUAAGGAACUAAUGCUGGGAAGUUGUAUCUAAUUGGCCUGUGUCCACCCUCCCAAACAUAUUGUUUCCAUUAUUUCUGCUAAAAGCCAACCCACCAAGCCCACAAUCUAAGUUCAAAACAAACAAACAUAAAACAGUGUGCUUGCUAUGCAAAUACAGCUUCAAAGCAAGCUCAUCCAUUUACUGCUUCCCAGCCCAAUGCAUUUCUAGACAGUAAACUCUAGAGCGGCCAUAGCUCAGGAGUGCUAAAGAAGAUAGGAAGUAUGCUGGGCCAACCUAAGCACACAGGAUGAUGGGAUGAAGCCAGGACCAGAGAGGAUGGGGUCGUGGGAAAGGGCUAUAGCUGGCUCAGCCACAUGAGCUACUUGGUAGAUGGACCAAAGCAGAAUAUCACAGGGACAUGACAUUCUCAGGGUACAGAUGGUGUCAGCAAGCAGAACACUGACAGCGAAAAGAAAAGCAGGUGAGCGAUGCCAGCACGACUUCAAGUGGUGGAUGGAGGAUGCCAGGAGCAGAACUUAGGGAGAGGACCAGCAAGAUCUUGUGUGAGUCUGGGGGUUUGGGAGAUGGCAUCUGAUGACAGACGAGACCCGGAAUUCCAGGCAGGUAUACCAAAGCAGAAAUUCAGGGGUCUGAAGAGUAAGAGCUACAUAUGCAUACUUACUGAUUUAAACUCAUAUUUAAUUCUCCCAAAUACCUCAUGAAUAAGGAACUUUUUACCUUCUCCACUUUUGAGAUGAAGAAACUAAGGUAGACAGAAGAUAUACAAUUUACUCAAAGUCACACAGCUAGUAUUAGCUUGGGUUGUGGUAAUAGAAUACCACAGACUGGGUAGCAUAAACAAUAGAAAUGUAUUUUCUUAGCAUUCUAGACUCUCAGAAGUCCAAAAUCAAGGUAGUGGCAAGGUUGAUUUCUGGUUAAGCCUCUCUUCCUGAACUGCAGAUGGUUGCCUUCCUGUUGUGUCCACACAUGGCCCUUCUUUGGUACCCUCACAUGGAGAGAGAGCUCUGGUUUCUCUUCCUCAUCUUCUAAAAGCACCAGUCCUACUGGGUUAGGGCCCCACCCUAUGAUUUCAUCUAACCUUGAUUACCUUCUUAGAGGCCCUAUCUGCAAAUAUAGUCACAUUGGGAGUUAGGGCUUCAACAUAAAAAUUUGGAGUGGAAGGGAAAAUUCAGUCCAUAGGAGCUAGUUAGUAGCAAACACAGGUGGUAAGACUCCAGAGCCUAAUAUUCUUUCUGUAUUUUUAUAUUUUGUUGAGGUAUAACUUUAAAGUUAUAGUUGAAUGAGUUCUGAAUAACUGCAUACACCCACAUAACCCACCUUCCUAGCAAGAAUUUAUGGUACUCGUAACACUCUACCAGACCAUCUGAUGACAGGAAGUGAUGUCACUGGUAGCUUUCACGGCAGCCAGGAGUCAUCUCUGGCACUGUGGACACAAGGUCCACAAGCAGCAAGACUGGAUGCUGAGUUGCCUCCUGUACACUCCCAUCAUGGUGCUCCCUGCCUGGGAGCCCUCACCCUCUGCUACUCUGGCCAUUUUCCCAGGGUAUUUCUCCCCUCCCCUCUCUUAUAAGGCAGUGUCUGUGGCAUCCCCUUUGAGUUAUCUCACCAUCCACUCUUUGGCUUCUCAUCUCUUCCAUCUCCCAUAUAAACAGGUACCUGCAUUACAUUCCCCCGAUUCAAAUACUCAGCACAGAUUCUCUUUUCCCAGUUACACUUUUGUAGUACACUGCUAUCCUCCCUACGUGUCAGGACUGGCUCAGAAACUGGGGCAGUUCUAGGCACUGGAUGGAGCCCAUGCACAGAGGCUGAAGGUGGAGUACUUGUCAGCAGAGAUUUCACCAAGAGGAUACCACAGAUUAUAAUUUUUUUCCUUUUUGGCCUCACCUGUGGCAUGUGGAAGUUCCUGGGCCAGGGAUCAAACCCAUGCCACAGCAGUGACCAGAGCCACAGCAGCGAACAUGCUGGGUCCUUAACUCCACUCUCCCCCAAUUCAUUUGCUGCCCAUGGCUCACCUGUUUUUCAGGUGAACCUCUACAAACGGUCAGUAUUAGAGAUGUUAGUGGUCCUUUAGCUAUCAUCAUGACACUAAGCUACCAAGUGGAUGUGUCAAAUUGCCACAUAUUUUUUUUUUAAAGUGGAUGUCUAUAUGAAGUGGUUGGAGAGAAAAUAAUCAAUUCAGAGUGCAAAACGGGACAUUCCAACACCAAGAAGCCUUCAACAGCCUGUGGGUAUCCCCUGGGAUCCUGCCAACCAGCUGGGGUGUGGAGGAGGAAGCCUUUGCAGAGGCUUAAAAGAGGCAAAAUGCCUGGUCAGCUCUAGUUCCAGUUUACAACAGGCUCUGGCUAACUGUAAAAUCCAUAUUGAGCAGAUCCACAGGACUACCACAGAAGGUAAGCCAUCUCUAACUUGGCUGCAAAACUAAGUCUUGGCUUCCAACAGCCUUCAGGAAGAAAAACCAGGAGGCAGGCUGCACCCCCUGGCUCACUGCCCUUAGCCCAGGCUUCUCCAGAACCACAAUAUCUCUGUGUCAAGUCUUCUUUCCUCAGCUCACACCACCUAAGAGAUAGGCUGUUGGCCUGUCCUGAUUGUAGGAGUAGAAGCCCCACUGUCAGGAGGUAAAAGGAAAACAGAGUUCCCACUUCUCCUUCAGUCUUUCUAUGUGAUAAAUCACUUCAGCUGGGAGAAGUGUCAUGGAAGGACCUGGCAGCUAAUGGGAGAAAUGGAACCCAGAAAAAGAAAGGAAGAAAGAAUCCCAUUAGUCACAGAGCUUUUCAUCUAAACCGCAGAAUAGGCUCUUGCUUUCUGUGGGAAUAAUAAAAUCACAGUCCUACACUGUAUUAGUUCCUCAAACAAAAGCAGCUCCCUAGAGUGUAAUGCUUCAGGCCUUCUGCACUGCAUUUAGUUUUCACUGGGUAAAGGCAUACAUUAAAAAGAAAGACUAGGUGCCCUUAAGAAAAUCAAGGAAGUAAAUAAGUUUGCUAUUCAAACAAGGAAAACACAAGCUGCUAGGCAGCCCUGCCCUGUGGUCAAUUCAACACCUGGUGAACAAACAGCACAGUCUCCGCCCAAGCUGGAUUUUUCUCACAGUAGCCCAGCAGCUCCAGAGGUCCAGCAGAAUGCCAGGGCCUUCUCUCAGACCUGGGAAAUAGGGUGAGAAGGAAGGGCUGGGAGAGAUACUUCAUUCCAAAGGAAAGUCACAACAGCUAAAAGUUACAAGAAAAGGACCUCAAAGCAGGUAGCCCGAGCUAUUUUAAAGGUAAAGAAACACUCUGUGGAGUUCCUGUUGUGGCUCAAGGCGUUAAGGACCCAACAUAGUAUCCAUGAGGUUUGAUCCCUGGCCUCGCUCAGUGGGUUAAGGAUCCAGCAUUGCCGUGAGCUGUGGUGCAGGUCAC